UACGUAGGGUGCGAGCGUUGUCCGGAAUUAUUGGGCGUAAAGAGCUUGUAGGCGGUUUGUCGCGUCUGCUGUGAAAUCUCAAGGCUCAACCUUGAGCUUGCAGUGGGUACGGGCAGACUAGAGUGUGGUAGGGGAGACUGGAAUUCCUGGUGUAGCGGUGAAAUGCGCAGAUAUCAGGAGGAACACCGGUGGGCGAAGGCGGGUCUCUGGGCAGUAAACUG
rnacentral:rRNA from 1 species